rnacentral:rRNA from 1 species
CCAGUUGUUCUGCCAAGGGCAUCGCUGGGUAGCUAUGUGCGGACGGGAUAAGUGCUGAAAGCAUCUAAGCAUGAAGCCCCCCUCAAGAUGAGAUUUCCCAUUCCUAUAAGGAAGUAAGAUCCCUGAAAGAUGAUCAGGUUGAUAGGUCUGAGGUGGAAGUGUGGCGACACAUGGAGCUGACAGAUACUAAUCGAUCGAGGACUUAACCUA